rnacentral:tRNA from 1 species
GCCCGGGUAGCUCAGUCGGCAGAGCGCAAUCAUGGUAAGAUUGAGGCCGGCAGUUCGAUUCUGCCCCCGGGCU